GCAUGAAAUUAAGGUCAGGCAGAUGGAACCGCAGCUUCGACGCACAAGGAAUGUGUCCGUAUGCAAGUAACGGCCGGGACUGGGUGGGAUACGAAGACGCAGAAAGCAUCUCCAAGAAGGUUGAAUUUGUCAGAAAGGAAGGCUACGCCGGCAUAAUGGUAUCACGUUGUGACAUGGACGAUUUUCGUGGAGUAUGCGGAACGCCUAAUAUACUGCUGCAAACAAUCAAUGACGCCAUACCCAGGCUGACGAACGUUAUUUUGAGUGGGUAAAAUGCUAUAUGAAGGUCCAGUCAGUAGCAAUAAACCGGCCGCAGUUUGCACUUCAGUCUACAGAUGGAAAAGUCGCAAAUGUUAACAUUGUGCUUAAUAACUGCAAGAUAAGCGCUAUAAAUGAAUGUGAAGCAUUUCACAGUAUCAGGAUGUACUGGUGCUCUCAACAGGUGAAUCUACAGCCUCUAUCGCCUAUAUCAAUAGUUCCUGCCAAGUCUAUCAUUUUAACUUCUUACGGGUAAACAUGCCACCGAGUCACCAGUGGUGUAAGCGUAUUACGGUAUCACCAAUGCUGUUAAGCAAGAUAAACAAGGUGGGGAGACGGAGACAACGUAUACCGUGCCCCGCCUCACUCAGUCAAGUCUUACUAUAUUAAACCAAUUACGCUGAAAAACUAGCCGUACAAAUACCAUUGCUACAAGACAGCAGUAUUAUCCGUGCCCACAGCU